GCUCUUUAUACGGGCCACCCCCUUUGUACGCCCCAAUAGAUCAAGUAUCCCAUACGUCCCUAAAAAAAAUUUUUUAUACCUCAUAGUAUCUUACAAAACUUUCACAAACCAAACACAACCGCAAGGACCACCAACCUUUGCCCACCAUAGAAAAGAUAACAACUUAUCCCUCUUGCAUCAUGGAGGAGCAACAAAACCGUAAAAUUAUACUACUCCCGAAUAACUAUGAGCUACUAAAUUCUAAAACUUAAUGUCUCACAAUUAAAAGACUAGUCUUUAAUAGAAGUAACAAGCCUUCCACAUAGUUAGAUAGCUGGUUUUCCGCAAAAAGUAUCAAAGUACUGUCCCAUAGUAGCCUUAAAUCUAACCAAACUAUUGGAGUCAACCUUUUAAGGACUAGCCUAAAAGGACAACUAAAAUAACUUUCACACCACACCUUUAAUGUAGACUUAAAAGCAGCCACCAAAACAGCGUUCUAGCUAAUAAAUUCCCCGCAUACACAAAUAUAAAAACAAAAUUUUAACUAAAGCGAAAUCUAGUACAAAACACUUUUACUAACAAACAGGCAUCCUAUUAGUAUUACAACAACAAUAUAAAUACUAAAAAUAUUAAUAAAUUUAGUACAACAAAUUAAUUUUCUUAUUAAAACCAUACAGAGCGAACUCGGCAACAAAUCUCCCCUGCCUGUUUACCAAAAACAUCGUCUUUUGUUAAUUUAUAUAAAAGAUAAUGCCUGCCCAGUGAAACUUCUUUUAAACGGCCGCGUUAGCGUGAGCGUGCUAAGGUAGCGUAAUAAAUAGCCUCUUAAUUCGAGGCCAGUGAAUGGCAAGACUAGGGACAUCUGUGCCCUGUAUAGAAAAAUAACUUUUCAUCUGAGUGAAAAGACCCAGAUAAUAAAGGAAGACGAAAAGACCCCGCGGAACUUUACCUUUUCCAGUCUCCACAUGCUCAAAAACACAAAAACAAAAGGUUUGAUUGGGGCAAUCUCGGAACCACCCAAACUUCCGACCUAUCACCAAAAUAUGUAUAUAUAACUUGAUACGGACCAAAAAGAAGUUACCCCGGGGAUAACAGCGUAAUCCAACUUGAGAGUACACAUCGAAAGUUGGGUUUGCGACCUCGAUGUUGGCUUAAGGACAUCCACAUAAGUGCAACCGCUAUGACAGGAUAGUCUGUUCGACUAUUACACCCUUACACGAGCUGAGUUAAGACCGGCGCAAGCUAGGUUGGUUUCUAUCUCCUUAAUUUAAACAACUUUCUUGAUUGUACGAAAGGACCCCAAGAAAUGCAACAAAUAAUAAGCAUUCAUUCCUAAACAACCAUUAAUUCCUACCUAGAUUUUAUUUAAUUAGCCAGCAAGUUAGUAUAACAA
rnacentral:rRNA from 1 species